rnacentral:lncRNA from 1 species
UGUUGCUCGAUCAUCUGACCAAAGAAGAUGGAAAUCCAGCAGGUUUUAUCCAAAGGAAGUGAGUCUUUGGUGGACCAACCCAGCAGACAGGGGGCCACAAUCAGAAGGUUGGUGACAUCAAACUGUGAAGAAAAGUAGCCCUGCCUGCUUGUGAACGAGCAUAGGAUUUCAGCAGCUGAGGGUGUGAUGGCUGUGGAGGUGGUCUGGGCCAGUGACCUGAGGACUGGAAAAUCAUUGACAAUCUGAUAUGGAAGAUGGCUACACACAAUGUUAUCGUUCUUCCUGGCUCGUAAGUUAAGAUAAGAGGCUAUGGCAGUGAGAUUUCCAUUUGUUGAAAUGUAUGCUAUAAAAAUUCAAUGUUUUCUUGCUAGACCCUA